CUUAAUUAUAUCAUGAGAAUAGCAUAAUUGGGGGAUCAAUUCAGCUUCUUCUUCUCCAGGGGCCGGCUGCUCCAAGCUUGAAAGAUUAUGAUCGAUUUGUAUUUGAGGCAAAUCAAAUAUAAAAUGGCUUAUGGUGGGCAAUAGUGAGGCUCAUAUAUUUUGAAAGACAUAAAGUGUCAAGGU